CGAAUUCGCCCUUGUUGGAAUCGCUAGUAAUCGUAGAUCAGAACGCUACGGUGAAUACGUUCCCGGGUCUUGUACACACCGCCCGUCAUACCAUGGGAGUGGGUUGCAAAAGAAGUGGGUAGCUUAUUUGGGCGCUCACCACUUUGUGAUUCAUGACUGGGGUAAAGUCGUAACAAGGUAGCCCUAGCGGAAGCUGGGGCUGGAUCACCUCCUUAAGAAAAGUAUGAGUGUCCACAACAAGUUGUUUGAUAAAAAAUAAAGAAGAAUGAAAUAAUAUCUUAUCUUUUGAUUGUAAUAGAUUUAUAUCUAAUAAAAAAGUGUACUAAGGUCAGAAAUAAAAACUGGAAUUAGUGCAUUUUUUAAAUCUACAAUAUUUAAAUAGUCUAUUGCUAACACUAAACACACCUAGUGUUUUAAUAUAUUUUAUCUCGAAAGAUAACAUCAUUCGGGUCUGUAGCUCAGUUGGUUAGAGCGCACCCCUGAUAAGGGUGAGGUCGGUGGUUCAAAUCCACCCAGACCCACCAAAUUUUCAUUUUUGACUGCGUUCUCGGCUUAGUUGUUUGUUACUAAAUUCUAUUGUCUCCGCUUUACAAAAAUAAAAAUGACAGUGUUUACGCUGUUUUCAAGGGGCCAUAGCUCAGCUGGGAGAGCGCUUGCCUUGCACGCAAGAGGUCGGGAGUUCGAUCCUCCCUGGCUCCACCACAUUGUUUUUUGCUUUUGC
rnacentral:misc_RNA from 1 species